UUUUAUUUUGGCUUGGAGAUUUGCUAUCUAAUUUUUUUAUAUGUUAAUUAAUGUGUAAAUAUUAUUUAAAUAAAGAUAUUAAUUUGAUUACAGUAUAAAAUAUUAAAUAUUAAGUAAUUUUAGAUUUAGAAAUUUGAUAUUAUAUAAACGAAAUUUGUGCCAGCAGUUGCGGUUAUACAAAUUAUGUAAGUUAAUCUUUUUUAAUAUAAUUAGAUAAAUAAGAUGUUAAUUUAAAAUUUAAUUUAUUAAGUGAAAUUUUAAAUUUUAUUUAAAUUAGUUGUUUAUUUUUGAAGUUAGGAAAUUUAGUAUUAAACUAGGAUUAGAUACCCUAUUAUUAUAAACGUAAAUAUUUUAAUUAUAAUUAUUAUUAGUUAUGGCCUUUAAAAUUAAAAAUUUUGGCGGUAUUUUAGUCUAUUCAGAGGAACCUGUUUUUUAAUCGAUAGUCCACGAUAAGUUUUACUUUAUCUUUAAAUUUGUAUAUCGUCGUAGUUUGAAUAUUUUAUAAGAAUAGGAAUGUUCAAUAUUUUUAGUUAAGGAGGAAUUCAGAUCAAGGUGUAGUUUAUGAUAAAGUUAAAAUGGGUUACAAUAAAUUUAUUUUUAGUUUUUAUAUUGAAAAUGUAGGAUAAAUUGGAUUUGAAAGUAAUUUUAUUGAUUUAUUUAAGAUGAUUUUGCUCUAAAAUAUGCACAUAUUGCCCGUCGCUUUCAUUCUAAGAUGGAAUAAGUCGUAACAAAGUAGAUUUAUUGGAAAAUGGAUCUAGAA
rnacentral:ncRNA from 1 species